rnacentral:rRNA from 1 species
GCCCCCUACGGGGCGCAGCAGUGGGGAAUAUUGCACAAUGGGGGAAACCCUGAUGCAGCGACGCCGCGUGAGUGAAGAAGUAUCUCGGUACGUAAAGCUCUAUCAGCAGGGAAGAAAAAAAGUCUUUGGCUUUGGACGGUACCUGACUAAGAAGCCCCGGCUAACUACGUGCCAGCAGCCGCGGUAAUACGUAGGGGGCAAGCGUUAUCCGGAUUUACUGGGUGUAAAGGGAGCGUAGACGGCAGCGCAAGGCUGGAGUGAAAUGCCGAGGCUCAACCCCGACACGGCUGUGGAAACUGUGCAGG